rnacentral:miRNA from 1 species
CGAGAUAUUCACGUUAUCGAGA